GCCUUCCUUCACUUGGGUCGACUCAACACUUUUUGGGUCGACUCAAGGUUGGGUUGGGUCGACUCAAAUUUCACUUGGGUCGACCCUCUCAGGGAUUCCAGAGAACUGAUUUUUGAAUGACAUAGCCUUUGGGUCGACUCAUGUUCUGUUGGGGUCGACUCAAGGUUGGGUCGACUCAAGUUCCAUUUGGGUCGACCCUCUCAGGGAUUCUAGAGACUUGUUUUCUUGAAGCUUGAAGAUGGGGUCGACUCAACUUUCACUUGGGUCGACCCAAGUACUGUUCAUCCGUGCCAUUUUUGCAGAAGUGUGCCAGAUGUUUCCUUGAUGUGCCGGGGUCGACUCAAUCAAGCUUGGGGUCGACUCAAUCCAUACUUUGCUGCAACUUAAGGUUAGAUUUAUCCAUAUAAUCCAUGAAAUAAACUUUAAACAAUUUUGAAUAUAUGUCAUGGUGGUGCUACAUACUCUAAACAAUGAAAAUUACUAUUGUCCACUUAAGAGUACGUUUCACUUGAAACUUUGCCGAAUUGGAAUUUAGAAUUCACUAUCCCUUUCCUAUCGCAAAUUUUAUCUCAUUAUUAAUCAUUGUAUUAAUCAUCAAAAUACCACUAUCAUCCUCAAUCUCCCCCUUUUUGAUGAUUACAAAAUAUUGAGUAUGAUCUAAUUGAUUCUUAUCUUAAAAUUAAUUUUAAAAGGGCUCAAGUUGCUGAAUUUCAGCUUUUCAAAUAUGAGAGUGAAGUCUCCCCCUAUUUCAUCCAAAUGUUGCCAAUUUGAACUUAUGGUCUUCUCCCCCUUUCUUUUAUACUUGGUUAAAGAUGACACUUCAAAAAUUUGAGAUAAUGAAAGAAUUUCAGAUUAUGUAUCGAGGUAUGAAAGGUAUGUGCCAAAAUCUGAAAUUCGAUUUAAAUUUUAGACUUUAACAUUUUCAUUGUACAAAUUGCUCCCCCUUAAAUGUAUAGUUUUUCCUAUUAUAAUUUUCAACCUUGUUUGUCAACUUAUUUCUUUUUCCUUGCUUCUCCCCCUUUUUGUUAUCAUCAAAUAGGUGCAUAGUAAUAGAUAAAUAGACA
rnacentral:lncRNA from 1 species